GAUGAACGCUAGCGGCAGGCCUAAUACAUGCAGGUCGGACGGGAUUCAGGAGCUUGCUUCUGAUGAGAGUGGCGCACGGGUGCGUAACACGUAUGUAACCUACCUUUAUCAGGGGGAUAGCCUCUCGAAAGAGAGAUUAAGCCCGCAUAAAAUCACAGCACAGCAUUGUGUAAUGAUCAAAUAUUUAUAGGAUAAAGAUGGGCAUGCGGAACAUUAGCUAGAUGGCGGGGUAACGGCCCACCAUGGCGACGAUGUUUAGGGGAUCUGAGAGGAUGGCCCCCCACACUGGUACUGAGACACGGACCAGACUCCUACGGGAGGCAGCAGUAAGGAAUAUUGAUCAAUGGGCGGAAGCCUGAACCAGCCAUGCCGCGUGCAGGAAGACGGCCCUACGGGUUGUAAACUGCUUUUAUACGGGAAUAAACCCAGAUACGUGUAUCUGGCUGAAUGUACUGUAAGAAUAAGGAUCGGCUAACUCCGUG
rnacentral:rRNA from 1 species